rnacentral:rRNA from 1 species
UACGUAGGGUGCGAGCGUUAAUCGGAAUUACUGGGCGUAAAGCGUGCGCAGGCGGCGCGUUACGACAGGUGUGAAAGCCCCGAGCUUAACUUGGGAAUUGCGCUUGUGACUGGCGUGCUGGAGUGUGGCAGAGGGAGGUGGAAUUCCACGUGUAGCAGUGAAAUGCGUAGAGAUGUGGAGGAACACCGAUGGCGAAGGCAGCCUCCUGGGCCAGCACUGACGCUCAUGCACGGAAGCGUGGGGAGCAAACAGG